rnacentral:lncRNA from 1 species
AUCUCUGGAGGAUUCUGUAGCUUUUCAUGAAUAGACUUCCACCGUCGUCCACCGCCCACCGCUCAUCGAUCCAUCGUCGCUGCUCUACAAGCUAUAAAAGGAUCUCCUCGGUGUCCCUCCAUUAGCAUGUCUCCACGGCCCUUGCUCGAUCUCCAUAGAAGUUGUGUUCUUCUGUUUCUUUUCACUCACCACAAUCAAGCCAUACGGGGAGCGCAACCGUUGAAAAAGGAAAGCAGGCGAGGUUGAUCUUGAUGACGUCCAACUCCUCGCCGUCAAGGCCGUCCCAUGGGGAGCGCCGCCUGUCUCUCCCCAGGCACGCGGCCUGUUCUCUCCAGCGUUGGUUCUCCAUGCUUUUGCCGUCGUCGGGGGCGUGAGCCCCCUCUCCCUCUGCCUCCUGGUAUGUGGGACACGUUGUGUCCCUCGCUUCGCACCCUUCUUCUUAAUUAGUCAUGUGCAAGGGAGGGCCGGCGGUACAGUUUGGCUUUGGAAGCCGGGCAUCAAAUCCUGCUGUACAACGCUGGUGAGAUGCAACACCAAAUAUUUGAGUGGCGGCCAUGGUGGUUGCAGGGCCUCGGCCUGCUCUUCGAUCCUUUUCUCUUCUUUUUCUUCUGAGAUGGAAUGGUGCUCCGUACGCCGCAUCCCCGAGCAUGCCCCACCAUGGUCGGAUCCUAGCGGUCUGCAGCCUUCCUUGACGAGCGGCGUCACGGUCCAUAGCGUUGGUGGAGGCGGCGAUCAAGACGGCGGGCAGCGACAACAUGGAACCCUGGAUGUUGUGCGCCUGGCCAUGAGGAUCACGACCGACGAGCGGAUGGACGACAAUACCGCAGAGCUGUUGCUCUGCGACCAGCUGCUAUUAGCGCCACCCGGUAGUUAAUGCCGGCCACGCGCCACGCGCCUCGAGCUGCGUAGUUUUGGUAACCUCGAGCGCAUGUAGCUCAUAAUCCAAGAGAUAAUAGUAGAUCGGUCUAGUACUUUAUUAGUUUGCUGUUUUAGCCAUGAGUUUAGUGCUCAAAUACCGAGGCUCAAAAUUUAGCGAAGCAUGCUCUAUCACUUGGGUUGGCCCCCGUGUGUCAUUAGGCAAUUCGGGUGAUCUUUCUUUCGUCCCUAUAAACAUUGUGAUGAGUUAAAUAAAAGCUUCGUGAGAUUGUCUUAAAAAUAAGUAGUAGACACAUCCUCCGUUCAGAUUUCGUUACUUGGAUGCGUGCCGAUUGUUUUGCCUUUUAUUGCACGUUUAUGGAUGUUCGACCUUCUUUCUUUUGCUUCCAUAUAUGAUAUGGAAACAUCUUGCAUGUCAAACAUAUUCCGAGAACGCAUGCCUAUUUCACCAUUUCCAUUGAUAAUUUAACAGAGCAGACAUUGGCCUAUUGCAACCUACUACAGCGCAUGCACACCUUAUUACAAAUCUGACAGGACUAUCACCUAAAGAAGGAACAAAACAGCGGACACGGCGACCGCACCGAGCAGACCAACUCCGCCGGUGACGGCGUGACGGGAAGAGGAGCUUGCCGGACCAGGCGCUGGGGCGGGCGCGUGAUGAUGUGGUGACGGCGCAGGGGAAUGCUGAGUGGGCGCGUGAGCCGCCGCUGUAACUUGUUGGCUGCCAAGCCGCUCGGUAUGGUUGGGGACGGAUGUUGACGAGGACGGAGAGUGCGCCGGAGCAUGGUGAUGAUGAUGAUGGCGAUGGCGAUGGUGGUGGUGGUGAGCCGGCGCCGGUGCUGUAGCGUGGUGGCCGUGGUGGUGCGGGCUUGGUGCCUUGUGUAGCUCGUCGGCGUCGAGGUGGUACGGCGACGGCGCCUCAGAGUGAUGGCCGCGGUACCACUCCGUGUCUGUAGAAGUGUCCAGCUCAUCCGCGUCGAUGUGGUGGCUCGGCGACGGGGCCGGAGGGUGGUGAUGGUGGUGGUNNNNNNNNNNNNNNNNNNNNNNNNNNNNNNNNNNNNNNNNNNNNNNNNNNNNNNNNNNNNNNNNNNNNNNNNNNNNNNNNNNNNNNNNNNNNNNNNNNNNNNNNNNNNNNNNNNNNNNNNNNNNNNNNNNNNNNNNNNNNNNNNNNNNNNNNNNNNNNNNNNNNNNNNNNNNNNNNNNNNNNNNNNNNNNNNNNNNNNNNNNNNNNNNNNNNNNNNNNNNNNNNNNNNNNNNNNNNUGAUGAUGGUGGUGGCUCGGCGACGGGGCCGGAGCGUGGUGAUGGUGGUGGCUCGGCGACGGGGCCGGAGCGUGGUGAUGAUGGUGGUGGCUCGGCGACGGGGCAGGAGCGUGGUGAUGAUGAGCGCUCGGCGCGGGGGCAAGAUGGCCAGGAUGGUGAGCGGGGCUGGGCGCUUGAGCCGGCGCGUGGUGGUGGUCCUCGUGCGCCGAGGAGAGCGCGACCAGCGAGGCCAGCAGCAGUGCCAUCACCACGGCGGUUGGCGAGAGAGGAGUCGCCAUGGCAACAAGCUUUGGGAGUGGUGGUGGUGGAAUUGUUGCUGUGGUUGUGACAGUCGGGGAGCGGGUCUAUAUAUAGCGACGAGCACGCGUAUCUGGAAGAGGGGAGGGGGCCGUCCUCUCUACUAUGGAAAGUAUUCAAUCUUGCGCAUUAAUGCUUACUAUAAAAAUGCGAUUUCCAUUGAUUCGUUUCCGAUCGUCCAAUUCGCUACACUGGCAGGAAAUAAAUGGGUGUCAUUUAUUCGUGUAUACUCUCUCCGUCCAGAAAUAUUUGUGCUAGAAACGGAUGCAUCUAAAUUUAUAUUAAUUAUAGAUACAUCCAUUUUAUUAAACUUAUUUUAAUUAUAGAUACAUCCAUUUUAUUCAUUUCUAGGACAAGUAUUUUUGGACGAAGGGAGUAGCUGGCAGCAUUAUGGGAACAUAUGGACAUUUGACUGUGAUCUGUCAAAUAUCGUGUGAACCGUUGAGUAUAUUUACGAUAUUUAAAUUGUUGCCCACAGAAAAAAUCUCGACCAUUUAUUAGAAAAAUCAUAAUUGCAUCACGAUUAAUAUUAUAAAAAUCUUCCUAAAAAAGAGAGGGAAAAACCUACGACGCUUGCAGCAGACUGUAAGCAUCACAGGAGGCGGCCAAGGCCCAAGGGGCCGUCUGAUCUGGCAAGGUGCUGGCUGGAGCUGGCCCAAAUGUGCGGCUCGCUGGAUCAAACGACGGUUUUGGGCAUAUGCCGUGCAACGAGCCCAGAAAAAAUUACUCCUUUGGGGUGACCGGUGGUUGUUGGACUAAUUAAUGAUGUACAAACUUUACAAGAAAUAACUCGUAGCAUGGAGGUGCACAUUGCAAAAAUUAUAGAGAGACCAACAUUUAUUCUAACCAAGUUUGCUGGAAAGCAAGAACCUAAUCCGGGUGAGAGUGUACAGACGACGGGUGUGAGUCGUUGAACAUCGAUCCAUUCGCGCCGCCCGCAACCUCCAGUUCUCCGGUGCUCCUCGCCUCGCCGCCGCAUGAGGUCCUACUGGCGAAGUCCGGCCAGGGCUGGGGACGACACCGACUGGGCGUUUCCCUGCGGUGCCAUCACUCUCUCCUGGUUUGGUUUUUGUUGAUGGCUACGACUCGUGGGCGGUACCGGCUAGAUCUGUGGUGGAUUGUGGCCAUGGGAUCCAUCUUUCCACUCAAAGUAUUAAUUUCUUCAAUAGCAUGCACUUUUUUAGUAGAAGAUUUUUCGGUAUGCCAUUAAAAAUAAUUUGAUAUAAUAUUAUUUAGGAGGUUAGUAGCUUCUCCUAAUGUGAUUUCCAUAAAAGUACCACCCGCGACAAAAUCUAAAAGAUUUCUAGAUGCAAAAUUCAAUCUAGCAUAAAAAAUUUGUAUGAUCAUCCAUAAACUUAAACCAUGAGUAGGGCAAUUUCUUAUCAUUAAUUUCAUCCUCUUCCAAGAUUGUGCAACAUGUUCAUGAUCAAAUUGUUUAAAAUUUAUUAUAUUGUUCUUAAGAGAGAUGAUCUUAACGGGAGGAAAAUACUUGGAAAUAAAAUUAUCCUUACACUUAUCACAUGAAUCAAUACUAUUUUUAGGCAAGGAUGAAAACCAAGUUUUAGAGCCAUCUCGUAAUGAGAAGAAACAACUUCAAUUUAACAAUAUCAUUAUCCACAUCUUUUUUCUUUUGUAUAUCAUGCAAUUUAGCGAAAGUAUUAAGAUAGGAUGCAACAUCUUCAUUAGGACUACCAAAAAUUGUUGAUUCAACAAAGCGGCAUUAAUUUUAUAAGAUUCCGCACUAGUGAUGGGAGCAAUUGGAGUACUAAUAAAAUCAUUAUUAUUAGUGUUGGAAAAAUCACACAACUUAGUAUUUCUUGAGACAUCGUGACAAAGCAAGCAAUCUAGCACACAAGAAAAAAAAGCAAAUGAAAAGACAAAUGGAAAGAAUGCAAAUAAAAAGGCAAAUAUUUUUGCUUUUUCUGAAAAUGUUUUAGAAAUGGGGGAGAGAAAGAUGAGAGGCAAAUAGAGAAUAAUGUAAGUGCAGGAUAUGAUAGUUUAUGGUAGGUACUUGGUAGGCUUGAUGUAGAUCCUCCCAGAUAACGGCGUCGGAAAUUCUUUCAGCUACUUCUUGAGCUUGCAUUGGUUUUUUCCUUGAAGAGGAAAGGGUGAUGCAGCAAAGUAGAGAUAAGUAUUUCCCUCACUUAAGAACUAAGGUAUCAAUCCAGUAGGAGAAACACACAAGUACCCAAUGAUUGCACUUACACAAACAAACAAAUACUUGCACCAACGCAAAAAGGAGUCGUCAAUCCCUUCACGGUUACUUGGAAGGAUGAGAUCUGAUAGAGAUAGUAUAAAAGAUAAGUAAAAGUGCAAAAUAAAGUAAAGAUAAAUAAAUUGCAGCAAGGUAUUUUUGUGUUUUUUGAUUUAAUAUGAUAAAAAUAGACCCGGAGGCCAUAGUUUUCACUAGAGGCUUCUCUCUUGAAAGGAAGCAUACGGCGGGUAAACAAAUUACUGUUGAGCAAUUGAUAGAAAAGCGCAAAGUUAUGAUGAUAUCUAAGGCAAUGAUCAUGAAUAUAGGCAUCACGUCUGUGAAAAGUAGACUGACUCCUGCCUUCAUCUACUACUAUUACUCCACACAUCGACCGCUAUCCAGCAUGUAUCUAGUGUAUUAUGUUAACAAGAACGAAGUAACGCCUUAACCAAGAUGACAUGAUGUAGAGGGAUAGAUCCAGUCAAUAUGAAUAAACCCCAGCUUUUUAUCCUUAGUAGCAAUAAUACAAAUACGUGUCAUGUCCCUUCUGUCACUAGGUAUUGUCGGAUUUCGGGUGCCGCAAACCCUUGAGAGGCUCGAACUCUGGGGUGCAUGCGAAGAACUCAACCUCCCCAGUCUGCCUACUCGCCAAUCUCAUAGCCUAGGUCGACGAACUCGAAGGAAAGGGGACACGAUAGUUUACCCAAGUUCGGGCCACCUUGCGGUGUAAAACCCUACUUCUGCUUUGUGGUGGAUUUGGCUCGAAGGGCCGAGGAUGAACUAGUACAGAGGAGAACAACCUCAGGAGGUGUGUUCUUGAGCUCGAGCAAGCUGGUGAGGGUGGAAUUGAUUCGAUCCUCUCCUAUGGUGGUGGCUAGGUCCUAUUUAUAGUGGCCUUGGUCCUCUUCCCAAACAAAGGCGGGAAGGGAUCCCACAACGGCCAAAUUCGAAGGGAGACAACUAGUACAUCUUAUCCUGACAAAAGUGGUCUUCGCCUGUAAAAGCUUCUGGUCAUGAUGCCACGGUGGGCUUGGCGAUGACCUCCAUCCUGCCGUCCUGGCGAUCUUGGCCUUGUUGCACGGGAAUGGAAACCUUUGGCUGAUUCCCCGGGACUCCGUGCCUGCGCUUGUCUUGGCACCAAAGAGGAAACUGGUACACUGUGCCCGCUGGCGCCCACCUGGCCUUGGUCAUCAUGGCUCACGUCACCCGAACCUCGCGAGGUGAGCCUUGCAUAGAAAUCUUCGCUCCUGGGGAGCCAUCCUAAGGAGGCUGCUCCCUUGGAGGUCUUGGUGUCGUUCGCCUCGCGAGGCUUGGCCCCUCGCGAGGGUCUUGAGUCGUCGAAGUCGAGGCUGGGCCUGUCAGGACCCCGAUCCUAAGUCACACUGAUCUAGCAUGUAACACAUCAUAUCACUUUGCGGCCUCACGCACGGUAUUCCCACAGGUGCCACCUUACCUGGCCCGGGACUGUUUGCGCCUUUUGGCUCACGUAUAUGACAGUGCCGCUAGCAUCCAUAUGACAAAGAACCCGGGUCGACAUGACUAGUUGUAAAUCCAAGGUGACGCUAACUUACAGGGACAGGCAUACAUGACCCAGCAACGAAUGUGUCAAUCAACAACGUAUGAACCCAAGUUGUAGCAAGCUACAGGGACUUAAAGGAACAACGAGUGACAUUUCCCCGAAGAGACAGACACAAGAACGAAGAAGGACACAUGCCGGCCAGCCUAAGUGUUCUGGAGCAGUAGCAAGCUACCAUGGCUCAGUGGAAGCACUAGGAGACAUUUCCUGGUAAGAGAGGCUACCAAGAAUAAACAACUAGGUUGUCGGAUCCCACACAUACCAAGCAUUUCAAUGACAUACACACAAUAUGCUCGAUAUGUGCAAAUACAACAUGGCAUCACAACAAAACUCUACGACUCAAAGUAUUUAUUCAAUAGGCUCCAAGGAGCCAAGUAUUACAAUCAUGGGUAUCAUGACCCAACAAUCAGAGCAUACAAACUAAAAGCACAUGCAGAAGCUUAACAUGUCUGAGUACAUACAACUACAAAUGAAAAGGGCUGAGAAGCCUGACUAUCUACAAGACCCUCCAGAGGGCACAAGAUCGUAGCUGAGGUAACAAGCUAAAUGUCGAAGUCCAUGCAAAACUACUCGUGAGACUGGAGUCUCUCUGCAAAAACAUAAAUUAAGCAAACGUGAGUAUAAAUGUACCCAACAAGACUUACAUCAGAACUAUCUACACAUGCAUCAGUAUCAACAAAAGGGAUGGUGGGGUUUAACUGCAGCAAGCCAACUUUGACUCGGUGGCUAUCCUGAACUACGACUGCAAGUAACUCUUUUGAGGUGGCGCACACGAGUCCACAUAUUCACCAUAACAAUACACCACUAUGGAUCCGCUCCCGUCUCCCUACGAGAACGCCAUCCAUAGCACUCACGCUUUUCUUGCGUAUUUUAGAGUAUCCAUUUUCACUUGUCUAUGAACUAUACAGGCAACCCAGAGGUCCUUUACCGCGGAGGUGGCUAUUCGGAUAGAUCAUUUAUAACCCUGCAGGGGUGUACUUCUGCACACACGCUCUCGCCACUUACUGCCAUGUACACGUCAUGUAUCUCGGCAAUCUUCAAGCGAAAGCCUGGUGAGGGUGUCGGCCAUGAUCUGACUAACCACACAAGUCCCUAGUCCAGGUUUAUCGCAUAUUCAGGUUCCAUCUGUAGGGAGUCCGGCCGAGGUUUCCACAUACGGCCCCGAACGAUGUGUGCAGGGUUCCCAGGUCACCAAACGGGCGACUCGGUACAUCGGGCCACAUGCCUACUGCAUCACAGCCCACCCCUCAGGUUAGCGCUGCGCACGGCCUCCAGCAUACUACAAACACCAGAAACUACUUGCAACUCCCGGAUAGAGGACAUGGGCGGUUAAUAAGUUGAGAGGGUCCAUUGGUUUCAGGUCCAUCGCGUGGUAGUAGUUGUUCAUGGAUCACAAACACAGAACUCAGUUCCUGAGGACGGUUUCAAUGAGACAACCCACCACGUACUCCUACAUGGCCUCUCACCGCUAAUUUUACCAAAUCAUGUUCACACACUUAGCUCUCACAUAGUAGGACAUGUUCAUCACCAUUCCAAUGCAUCCCCGAUGAAUCAGACCUGACUCAACUCUAAGCAGUAGCAGGCAUGGCAAACAAGCAUGAAUGAGUAGGCACAUCAGGGCUGAAACAACUCCUACUCAUGCUAGUGGGUUUCAUCUAUUUACUGUGGCAAUGACAGGUCAUGCAGAGGAAAGGGGUUAAACUACCACAUCAAGUAACAGAUGAAUCAUUGUUGUCCUAAUGCAGUAAAAGAGAGCAGGAGUGAGAGAGUGGGUUUGUAUUGGAAUGAACAAGGGAGUUUUUGCUUGCCUGACACUUCUGAACAUAGUAUAGUUCUUCAUGGGUGUCAUAGAUCACAUCGUCGGAACGUCGUCUACACAGAGGGGACAAAUACCGGCAAACAAGGAAGAACACAACCAAUGCAAUGCACAGUAUGAUGCAUGAUCAUGACAUGGAAAUAUGCCGUGAUUGAGCUAAUGCAACUAAAACCAGAAGGGUUUGAGCUAUUUGAACCCAAGGUUCAAAUUCAAAGUCAAACUAAGAAUUUAUAAAGUGCAUUAUCAUGUUUUGAUCUAACAGCAAGGUUAAGUUGUUUAAACAUGCAUGAAACCAGUACAGAUGGAUAGAUUGAAUUUUUUGAUCAUUUUUCAUAUAUAAAACUUUUCAUUCUGAGUUACGGUUGAAUUUAUAUGAUUUUUAGAAGUUUAAAGAAUUUUCUAGAAUUUCUAAAUCUUUUCUGAUUUAUUUUAAUUCCAGAAAGGCUUUACCGCGUCAGCACCGCGUCAUCAUGACGUCAACGAGUCAACAUGGUGCGGUCCUGGUCAAACCUGACGUGUGAGUCCACACGUUAGUGACUAACUAACUAACCUAAGUUAAUUAGUGUUAAACUAAUACCAACUGAAAGUGUUAGUGGAGUUAAUUAAACUUAAUUAAAAACUAAACUAGGAUUAGCAAGGGCCAGGGCCCACUCGUUAGCGACCCAGGGGAGGUCAAACCCCUGGUCAGAGGGGUCAGACCCACCGGCGAGGCCGAACACGGCGGAGGCUUCGGGUUCACUACUCCGGCGACCAAACGGCCGGCGGAGAGCAUCUACAUGGAGUUGGCGGGGUGGCGCAUCCAGUGGUGGCGGUGGCUGAAGCUAGGGUGGUCGGAGUCGACAAUGGCAAGUUCUAAGGCGGUGACCGAAGUUUGAGCAAGCUCGGGUUCGGGGGCUACGGUGUGCAAAAGGACGAACCGAAGCAACCGCGAGGCUCACGUGUUGUUGUGAAGCGUUUGGAUGCACUGGCGCGACCAAAUGGUCGCCGGAGCUACGCUAGCGACGAGCUCCUGUGGCGGAGCAUCUCAGCUCCGAAGGAGGAGGCGGCUAGUGGACAAAAUGAGCUCGAGGAGGAGGGGGAGAGAUGGCGGAGCUCACAGUGAGUGCAACGGUGGCCUCGGCGAGCUCGGGGAGGGGCUGGAGCGUGUGGGGCGGUGAGGGGGAUCUCUAGCAGUUGACGAUGAAGAUGAAGACGACGACGUUACUUCAGGCGUCCCGCGGGCGCGUGCUUCGUCUUGGUGCUCCGUGGUGUCAAGGUGGAGCCUCUGGACAGCACGGAGAGGCGGGGUGGUGGCUCUGGCCACGACAACGACGAGCGGCGGCGACAGCGACGCUCGGAUGGUGCAGGGGACAGAACAAGAGGAGGGGAGAGAGAUCCAGGGGGAGUGAGAGGUGGUCGGGGAGGUGCGUGGCGAAGCGAGGGAGUUCCAGGGGGUCAAGGGGGCAGCUAGGCAGGGAGGAGGUGGCCGCACGGCGGUGCGCGUGCGUCGGGCACGCGCCCGUCCUCCUGGCAGGGAGGAAGACGGCAGGAGGGGGUGGCCAGGCGGGCUGGGCCGCCAGCUGGGCUGCCAGGUAAGGCCCAGGUGGGUUUCCCUCUCUCUCUGCUUUUUCUUCCGUUUUCUAUUUUCUAUAAUUGUUUUGGCUUUAUUAAAAAAUGCCAGCGCAUUUCCAAAAAUCGUGAGACUGCUUGUGGCCACUGUUUGGAUUAUUUCCAACAGUAAACAUUUCAGUUCAUGGAUAUUUGGACGUUUAAAAUAAUAUAUAAAAAUUAAAUGCCCAAAUGCAAAUAAGGUAUGAUUUAAUUCAGUGACCCAAUGUUGUCCUAGAAAAAUGUGAACCAUUUUUGUUAGAGGUUCUAGACCAAGGCAAAGAUGAUGAACAUUUUUGAAGGGCAUUUCAGGUUCAUUGAAAACUAUUUUAGUAACCCUAGUUGGAUUAAGUGGUGCUGGGGGUUUCUGUCAUCCCCAUUUCCAAGUUUCUGAGGAAUUUAAACAUGAUGCAACACUCUAAUGCAUGCACUGACUAGGGUUGUGACAACUCACCCUCACUAAACAAGGAUCUCAUCCCGAGAUUCAAGCAUAGGGUAAGAUGAAGGGGGGACACAGACUAACACAAUCUUCACGAUCCAGGUUGCACUUCAUAAGAACAUUGAUUCGAUCACCAUCUUUGUCUCGAUGUCUUGCUCUGAGAACUCCAACCAACAUGACAACGAGAGGAAAGGGAAAACUCUAGAAGGAUCGAUCUUCUCGAAGAUUGAACAACUCAGGAUCAACUCACGGAGUGAGACAUUGAAACAUCUCUCGAGCUGAGACACGAAGCAUACAUCCAAAGGGAUGGAGUGAAACAGAUGAUGAAGGCUCACUAGGUAGGUAACAAUUCCACACCUAAGAAGAUGGUGGACGAAGUCAGAGUAGCGAGGAGUUAAUUGCUAUGAUUCCAUAGCAGGGCACCUCAAGGAAGGUGACUUGUAGAAUCAUCCCUUAAGUGGCAAAAAUAAUUACUUUUGAUUCAGAGAACAUUGAAAUUCUCUAUACCAGCCUAAGGCAAAUCAUAGUCGAUCAUUUGAAGGAGUCCGAAAGAAUGACAUACUCGGACUAGGAUGGGUGAGGUGGACUACCUUUUUGAUGACAACACAAUGGAUGAUUUUAUUUAUCAUCAAAAAUGGAUGGAACCCAUGGUAGGUCCACUUUUGAAGAUGAUUCUGAAUAACAACCACUGGAAGGGUAGACCAUAGUGAGAUGGCACACUGGCGAUGCAAGAUGGGAACAAGAUGAAAAUGCUGGGAAUGAUUCUAGUAACUGGGGAGAAACCCAACAGUAGAGAGUGAGUCCACUGUUUGAAAGGUUAUAGCAUAACCGAGGAAACUGAGAGCACUAUGCAAUUAAUGUCGACAAAAAAACCUAGUGCUUGCGCGUGCUCUCAAGAACUUGAGCAUUUCCAUAUUCAUCAAGGUUUUACCAACAUCUGCCAGAUCUUGGUGACACCUUGUACUACCAUGAUGAAUAGUGAUGGAGGGUGCAGAUGCAAGGGAAGAUAACAUCUUCUCAGAUUUCACCUUAGCGAGGCCAAGGACACAAAAUCUAGAUGAUCGACCGAGAGACAUUUAGCAUUCCGCUUCUAAUUCUCCUUGAUGUACUAGCGUAACCCAUUUAUAGAUAUGGUUUGGUAUCUUGAACAUCAAGUAAAAGGUCGGACUUUGGGAGCUCAGGAAUCCAUAAGGAAUAACUAUGGAAGUAAAUCUUACGAAAUCCUUAUGGGGAGGUGGCCAACUGCCUCAAUCAAAAUACUACAAUAACUGCUCUUCCGGCUGGGUGUGUUGGCCACGACAUCCACUUUACGGGUUACAAAGAGACCAAUAUUAUAGUUCUUGGAAAAUGUUCCAACCAUCAUAUCUGCCUGAGAUUCAGAUCUGGUUGGUGUCAGGAUAUUCUAGACUCAUCAAGUCUAGAGAGAAAAAUGAAAGUUUGCAACACAAAUCGACGAGACGGCAUUGCGAGAUUCUCGGGGAAUGAACUGCGAUAGCAAGCUCCAAAACAUGAGCUGGUUCUGCUACACAUAUGUGAACACGCUGUCCCAGACAAGCAUGACCACAUAGUAGUCUUAUAAUAAAACACUACCGAGUUCAGGUGGGGAACCAUCAUUUCAGAUAACGAAGUCCUUGAUUAAGCCCGGGUUAGCUCUUAAAAGGAACUCCUUCUCCUGGAACAAAUCGGUUAGUGGCUUGGUGUGCUAGCGAUACAUAUGGAGUGAAGGUUGCAAGUCUCCAAACCAUAGAAUACUUCGCACGUAUGCAUGACCUAUUUGGGAUGAUUCCAGAGGAAGCAACAUUGACUUUCUCGAAUUCACGGCGGCAACUUGCAUCAAAUGCACAUGAAUGGGAGAAAAUCACUUCUUACAUCCGAACAUAUGCUUCAUGAGCGGGACAUGAAGAUAAUGCUUAUAAAAGUUUCCAACACUAGCUGGAUGUUCAACACAAAUCAUGGAGAGGAUAAAAUGCUACUGAUGAGCUCAACAACAAGUCAUCGAGAUUCCCAUGGAGAUGGAAUUCCACAAUUAUGUGAACAAGGUGAUAGCAUUGGUCAGACCCAAAAGAUAUAAUGGUGUAUGCUUGAGGAAACAAUCAUGAGUAAGACAACAUUACGAAUAUCGUUGGUACUGAUUUGAUUUGACGAUAGCCCAUACUUAAAUCAAAGAUUCAGGUAAGAUAAUAGGUCCAGCAAUUGAUCACGAAGACCAAUCAAUGGAGAUAUCAUAUUUCUUCAACACACAUAAACAAAAAUAUCCCUUUAUAAUGAACUAAGUUAGGCAAGCUUUUAUCUUCCAACUCUCCAAGUUGUUGUCUAGCUUAACCAACUAGCUCAGGGGUGUGCAACACAGAUUCUUGGAGAAGGGGUGGUUACAAGAAACCAACUUGAUCACGAACUCAACAUAACAGUCAGGGGACAACUUGGUGAUACUUCCAAGAAGAUAUUUGAAAAAUCACAAACCACCGAUAUGCUAUUAAUCUCGAGAACAAUCUUGCUUUUCAGGGCAAGACGAGAUGAUCAAAUAAGCAAGGGAUUGACAUAAUCCUAACUCAUUGAUCGAAGAGUGCACCAAAAAUAAGGACUAGGUAGCACAAUCUAUCUUAGAAUGAUGAUUCAAGAACCAACACACUAGGAAUGAAGUUAUUGUCCUUUAACUACCAAGUAACAAGGUUGCUAGGGGUAUUGAUUUCACACAUCAUAGUUCACCUAUCGGUAUUCCGGUUGCAACAACACAGGAACCGAUAAAUGAAUAAUGAGGACGAGAAGUAUCACUGUAUCAAGAGUUCAUUGGAUGGUGUGCAAUUCCCAUGAUAUUCUUGAUAUAAAGAUGGUAAUACUCCAAGGUAGAACAUAACAAAAGCUGGAUUGGCAUUUUGAUCUACGGAAUACAACUGCUUUGACCCAAUCAUGGAUAUGGAUGAGGUACUGGAGUUUGUUUCUCCUAGUCAUUCCGAAUAGAAUGGCUUGACGGACCACAAGAAUAAUAGGCAUCGAUAACAUGAAUGCAUAACUACUCCCGACUAUCAAUUGAUAGACGAGGGUCAGAAGACAACUAAAGAGGGACAACUCAAAGGAACAUACGAUAUUCUGAGUUGUGGAUGCAUAGAUUAGUAUGUCGAACGAGUUCAACAUAUUUCUUCCGGAUAACCCAUGCAGAAAAGUAGAACUGGCAGAGUCAUAAUAUGGAAUGGGAAACUCAUCGAGAGCACUCUUAUUGUGAUCUUUUGGUUCAAAGAACUUCUGCCAUAAGCAGUUCAUGGUAUUUGGAAGAACGAUAUACCACGAACCUCGAAGACUAUUGCAAAGGUUACUAAUAUCCUAAAGUAACUAGAAAACACUAUCAACAUGGAGUAAGUAGGUGAAUCUUGGGUUUAAGAACCCAGGAAUAGAAUGCAUACUAACUAAAUGGCAUCACGGGAUGCUUUCGAGAGUAAUGGCCAGAAUCAUCACACUGGAACACAAAACAUGGCUAGAUUACUAGGUGAUACUCUAGACACCUAGGGUCAUAAUAAUAGCUUCAACAUAUAUGCCGAGGCGAUAGAGUACCUCAACACACUAGUUAGUGCGGUUUAUCUGGCAUAAAGAAACUUCGGAAUGGCAAGAAGGGAGGUACAAAUGCAUCAGACUAUUUUAGAAACCUUGGAUGACUCGGACAUCAUAACGGCUGUAAAUGCUCAAAAUGAUUUGAGACUUCCUGCAAAAUGGUGGCAUAACCACUCAACAUCACAAUACCAAGGUUCCGAGGCCAACUAUGAACACACGGAAGUAGUAGAGACUGAACUGAGGCUUAAAUCCAUCAAUCCUAUAAGUCUACAGAUUAGUAAGAUGUGAUCUUGAUAGAAAGAAGAGGAAGCCUAGUUUGUCGGCGUUCUGGAUAUGGGGGUACCCUGACUUGCCUGCCUGCGGCCCACUACGCGGCUCCAUCGGUGGCCUGGUAUGACCCAACUUCAGCAUCGACAGCUCAAGACCCUCGCGAGGGGCCAAGCCUCGUGAGGCAGACAACGCCAAGACCCCUAAGGGAAUCAGCCUCCUCAGGUUGGCUCCCGAGGGGCGGGGAGUUCUAUGCAAGGUGCACCUCACGAGACUCAGUUGACAUGAGCCAUGAUGACCAAGGCCAGGUGGGCGCCAGCGGGCGCAGAGCGCCAGUUUCCCCUUUGGUGCAAAGGAGGCAAGCGGCAGGUGCGGAGUCCCGAGGAACCAGCCAAAGAUUUCCAUUCUGGUGCAACAAGACCAAGACCGCCAGAUGGCAGGACGGAGGUCAUCACCGAGCCCACCGCAGCGUCAUGACCAAAGGCUUUUUGCAGGCGAAGACCACUUUAGUCAGGAUAGGAUGUAGUACUUGUCCCCCUUCAAAUCCGGCCGUUGUGGGACCCCUUCCUGCCAACAUUUGGGAAGAGGACCAAGGCCACUAUAAAUAGGACUUAGCCUCCACCAAAGGGGAGGACAGAAAGAUCAGAUCCCUUCUCAUCCAGCCACCUCACCAGCUCUCUUGAGCUCAAGAACACCUCGCCUCCUGAGGUCAGUUCAUCCACUAUAGUAGUUCAUCCUCAGCCCUUCGAGGCAAUCCACCAAAAUGCUGGAGUAGGGUAUUACAACGCAAGGUGGCCCGAACCAGGAUAAACUACUGCAUCUCCUUGUCCCUUUGAGCUUGACGCGCUAGGCUUAGGAGGAUCGCGAGUAGGCAGGCUGGGUAGGUUGAGAUCUCCGCACGCACCCCAGAGUUCGAACCUACCAAGGGUUUGCCGAACCCGUAAUCCGACAUUUGGCAUGCCAGGUAGGGGUGCGUCGGAGAUCCGCUGCUCCGUCCGUCACAUCGUGCCUCCGGCUUUGAUGGCGGGAGCUCCUUCGUCGACUCGACCGUCGCGUGCCUUUGAGGGGGGCGAGGGGCUCCGCGCUUUCAACCCCUCCUUGUGACGGGUGGAUUGGCCACCUAAGUUCAAGCCAGAGAUGUCGCCUCGCUACAAUGGCACGGUGGACCCGACUGGCUUCCUCUAGGCAUACGAGGAGGCGAUCUGGGCGGCCAGCGGAAGCGACAAGGUGAAGGCCAACUGGCUCCCCAUGGCCCUCAUGGGUGCACCGUGUGCCUGGCUGCUCAACCUGCCGGCAUCCUCCGUGGCCUCCUGGGAGGAGCUGCACGGCCUCUUUGUCGCGCGCUUCAAAGCGCCGGCGCC